rnacentral:rRNA from 1 species
GGUGUGUAACGCGUAUGCAACCUGCCUUUAUCAGGGGGAUAGCCUCUCGAAAGAGAGAUUAAUACCGCAUAAAAACACAGUACGGCAUGGUACAAUGUUCAAACAUUUAUGGGAUAAAGAUGGGCAUGCGUGACAUUAGCUAGUUGGUGAGGUAACGGCUCACCAAGGCACCGAUGUCUAGGGGAUCUGAGAGGAUGACCCCCCACACUGGGACUGAGACACGGACCAGACUCCUACGGGAGGCAGCAGUAAGGAAUAUUGGUCAAUGGACGCAAG